UUUGUGUUUGCCCAGCUCCCUGAGUUGAUCAGGCUAACCUGUGGUUCACUCCACAGCUGAAGGGAACCCUCAUUACCUUGUGUCAAUUUUAAUUAGGUAUAAUGAAUACCAUCUUCUCAGACUACCUUGGGUAUAGUGAAAGACUGGUACCUCUGUCUGUUUAUCUGUCUACUUACGUGUCUACCUAUGUCUUGAGAAAAUACCUUAAAAACAAACUUUGCACUGAAAGUUACUUUUAUUUUUCUCAGGUUAGCUUUGGAAAAUAACUGUAGUUACUAAUGCCUUCCUUACCCUUCAUUCUUGAAUUAAAUUACAGUUUGAAGAAGGCUUACUUUUUAAAUGGCUUAGAAAGAACUCUGUGGGUGUUAAAACUAUUCACAUUUUCAUUUAUCUUUUGAGCGACUAUGUAGUAAUUUUCAUUGCACAUUUUUCUUAUUCUCUGUGUUAAUAUAAAUGUCAAAGCCCAGACUUGAGGUUGUAUAAUCCCUUUUAUGUGAUAUUUUUAAAUGUCUGAAUUAUUCAUUCUACUGUGCUGUGUAUUACAGGUCUGAAUUUUUAAGAGACAUUCAAGCAGGCUCCUUUCAGUUGCAAGAAACAAAAGCAUACUCCCACUAUCGUAAAUGCUGGGAGCUUACUGGAAGAUUAUGGUUAAAUAAGUAAGGCACUCAUCAAAGACAGCUUCCUCAAGGGUUUGGGAAUUAGCUAUAGGCCUCUCUUAACACCAAAUGAUGCUCUUAGCUAGGGUGGAGAUCCAAAUCAGUUGUGUCCCAUGUACCAGAGGGCAUGGCAGAUGACAGAGAAGGACCCAUCUGUGGCAGCUUUCCUCAGCAAAGGUGAGAAAGGUCAGGCCUUUACAGUCUCACGGGUUUCUCAGUGUAGUCGUGGUUUGACAAAAUGCAGUGUCAGCCUUGCACCUUCAGGAUGUAGUUAAAGGGACACGCUAUUCCCUUCACAGGUAAGUCACUGCACAGUGGUGAAGGACCUCAGCUCUGGGGCAGGCUGGGUUUGCUCUGGCAUUUAAUAAUUUAUGCCAUCUGUAAUAAUUUGGGGCUGCAUAUACUGUAACACAUUAAUAGACUGGCAGAGGCUUCACCAGUGAAUGUUUUACACCCAGUCCUUUGUUACAGUUGGCAAGUUGCCCAUGCUGGACUUGGGAUUCACUGUGUAGCCCAGGCACGGCUUGAACCUUCUAUCCUCCUGUCUCACUUUCCCAAGUAGGUGGGACUACAGACUGCCACCUAGCAACAGUCCUGUGUUUACUCCCGUAAAUCGAACCCACUGCUCUUUAUUCCUCUGGGAAAGCCGUUGGGAGUAGAUCUCGGAUGGUUCGUUUUCAGUCUGAAGAAAUUAAUACUGAUUUAUUUAUAUAUAUAUCAGCACGGUUGCAGACCAGUUCUAUCAUAUUUUGUUUGUCUGAAAAAAUAUCUUCAUUUCUGAAUGAAAUUGUUUUUGCAAGAUGUAGAAUUCUAGUUGUUUCAGCUCUUUCCCCCUUUCUGUCAACACUUGCAAGACUUUUUUCACUCCAUCAUCAUCAGCCUGCUUUGUCUCUGGCAGGAAAUUAGAAUUUGUUCCUCCAGUCCCUCGUGUACCUCAAUCUUUUUUUCUUUGUGUUAUAUUUUUGUCUGUCUGUCUGUCUGUCUGUCUGUCUGUCUGUCUGUCUAUUUGAUGGUGGGACCCAUGGCCUUCAUAUACUAACCACACGCUCUACCAGAAGUUCCUCCAGGCCCUCCCUGGCUGCCUGCAGGCUUUGUUGUUUGUUAUUCAGUCUGAUACAGGUCUGGUGUGGUUGGCUUUUCUAACCCAUGAUGCAUUCUGCACUCUCCUCACUUGCUUCUCUCUCUGGGACUUGAGCCUUGUUUGCUAAUUACUUUGUACUCUCUCUUGGGUUGUAUUUUGUUUUCUCCAAUAAUACUUCUUCCAUUGCCUCAGAGUGCCUUUUGAUUUCAAGUUCACCAUCUUUUCUUCUCUUGUAUCCAAUCUGCUCUUGAUUUUCUCCGAUGACUUUUCAUCUGGAAGCACCGAUUGUUGGUUCUGAUUUCUCCUUGUCCUUUCCAUCUUCAUUGAAAUAGUUCCUUUGUCACCUUCUCUAACCAUUUGUCUUUAUGUAGUUGGUGGGGUGGGGGUUGAGACAGGGUCCCUCUGUCUGUCUGUCUGUCUGUCUGUCUAAAAAAAAACUGCUGUUCUGGAACUUGCUGGGUAGACCAGGCUAUCCUGAAACAGAGAUCCACCUGUGUCCAGCUCUGGGAUUAAAGGUGUGUGCCACCACACUCCGUUGUCACUUUUUAAAAAUAUGGCACUUUUACUGGAACGCAGAGUAUUUGUUACAUGAAUAUAUCCUAGCAGGAUUUGAACUUUCUACGCAGGAGCCUCGUGAGUCUGAAGCUGCCGAAAACUCUGCUUGGUACUUUGUGAUGUCAGCCACUUAUUAGCCCUAGACUCACUGUGUGAUGCCAGAGAGAUGAGGGGAAUUUAUACUCAGGUUUGGGGUGGUGUUGCUGGUGGCUCUUUUCAGAGAUUUCCAACCCAGCUGAUAAUCAGAGAAAGAAAACUAGUUCAUAAGAUGACAUAAACCCUUUCUUCCAGGUUGCUUUUGAUCAUGAUCAUUAUUGCAGUGGUAGAAGCAAACUGGGAAGCCUUGUUACCAGAGAAUUAGAGUAUCAUGUUAGCCUCAGCCUUUGAGAGAAGGCGAUGAACCGGAGUUGUUUAUGUAAAUGUAAUUUUAAGUGAUGUGAUUUUGCUAGAGCUUCAGCAGUUGCUAACCGUUUGUUAAAGGCUUUAGGUGGCUGGUUUGUCUUAGUUUCCUGCAAUGUGGUUGGUGCAUAGCAUCCCUUGGUAGCAUCGUUAGGCUGGCAAGGGCUUCACCAGUGAAUGUUUUAAAACCAUAAAGCAUAGUUAGCUGAGCUUACGGUCUUUGUAAACUUCAACUGUUUCCUUCCACUAACAGUGCAAGAAGAUACUUUGUGUAUUGUAUUAAAAAAUGAAAUACCCUGUCUUUUAAAAAACACGGUAUAUCUAGAAAAUCAUCUUGUUUGCAAUUUGAUAGGAACCAAUCAAAAGAUUUCAUUUGUCUUCAGUGUGUAACAAAACCUUUUAUUACCAGCGAAGUGAUCUAUAUGUAUGUGCUACCAGUGAAUAACUCUUAUUAUUUUUUUCCAUGUGCUUUCUUAGAUUUACAAAUAUGAUUUAUUCCCACGACUGCAGUCUACAGCGCUAGAACAAAUGUCUCUGUAAUGUUUCUGGGUCUGUGUAAUUAGGAUUUAAUUGCUUUGGAGAGGAAAUGGGAGUGUAGACUGUCUCCUUGGGGCUGUAUUACAGAAUUUCAUUUUGUUUUAUUCUUUGGUGGAUUUAUUUUUUCCCUGAUAUUAACAUUAAUAAAGUGAGCAGAGGAUUCUAACCAAUUGUGCUGGCUGGAUGGCUACAGGAAAUGAGACAGGGCAGGUGUGGGCUUCCUGUAAGACCUUGUCGAGCCCAGAACUUGUGGCACCAGAGGGAGGGUCUAGGUCCAGCAGGGUCAUAGUUCUAGCCACUUAGUUUUAAAUUUAUAUUUUAUGUAUUUUAUAUGUUAAUGUAAAAUAUAAAAUUAAAAUUUAAUUUAUAUUU
rnacentral:lncRNA from 1 species